UCCCUGAUAGCUCAGUUGGUAAAGAAUCUGCCUGCAAUGCAGGAGACCACAGUUUGAUUUCUGGGUCGGGAAG
rnacentral:tRNA from 1 species